rnacentral:misc_RNA from 1 species
AACGCAAGUUGCGCCAGAUUGUGAGAUUUGGCAUGUUUGUAUGAGGGUUGUGACACACUGAAAGUGGGGUUAAAUCUUAUUGAGAGGUGAGAUUUUGCUCUGAAGUUUUAUUAGAUUUGAAGGGAGUGGUGGAGUGCGAUGGAUGAGCGAUUCGGCUGCAAGGCUGAUUCAACCAGCUCAUUUUAUCAGAAAGCUCUUUAUCAUCUCUUUUAUUGACAACCUCAUAUCAAGCAAGAAUACCCGCUGAACUUAA